AACCUACCUAUCAGACGGGGAAGUAACCCGGCGAAAGUCGGACUAAAUACCGCAUAAAACAGGGGCACCGCAUGGUGAUAUUUGUUAAAGAAAUUCGCUGAUAGAAUGGGCAUGCGUUCCAUUAGGUAGUUGGUGAGGUAACGGCUCACCAGCCGACGAUGGAUAGGGGAACUGAGAGGUUGGUCCCCCACACUGGUACUGAGACACGGACCAGACUCCUACGGGAGGCAGCAGUGAGGAAUAUUGGUCAAGUGGGCGGGAGCCUGAACCAGCCAAGUCGCGUGAAAAGGAAGAAGGAUCUAUGGUUCGUAAACUUCUUUUGCAGGGGAAAUAAAGUGCAGGACGUGUCCUGUUUUGUAUGUACCCUGAGAAUAAGGAUCGGCUAACUCCGUGCCAGCAGCCGC
rnacentral:rRNA from 1 species